CCAAAAAGACAUUUUUAAAUUCUGAUUGGGCAGCUUCUAAUCUUAAUCCUCAGGGGAGAAAACAACAACUAUUAUGGUGGAAAAAAUUAAGAAAUGGGAUACAUUUUCCCACAUUUCUCCUGAAAUACCACACAAAGUCUGGACAAUUGGUUGUGAUACAAUGUUACUGUGGUGCUGCUGUUGCUGAGAUGAGUUUACAUAUUCCUGUGGGCGUUGCUACGUCAGCAGGAGGUGCUUGAGCUGUUCUUGCAGGUACCUAAUAUUUAUGCGACAAGACCUUUUCGUGAAAAAUAUGAAAAGCAAGCCAGAUCAAACAUACAUAAUGAAAUUGACAGCUUGAAAAAGGGACUAUGAUUGGAAAUACUUUAAAUCAAAUUAUGUGGAUUUGCACAUUAGUGCUAGCAAUGGGGGCUUAUAAAAUAAGUGUCAUAAGUAAAAAUUGGAAUGUAUGAGUAAAUAUUUUAUGAACUGAACAUUUCUCCUUAGAAUACUAAAUUCUGGUUCUGUAUUUAAAGGAUUAGAAUGAAAAGUGUAAAACUAUAAACAAUGAUAAAGCAGAUUGUUUAUCUUAUAUACGAAUGCAAAUCAGUUUUGAAAUGUAAUUUUCAUUAUUAGCAGUGAUGAAGUUCAUACUGAUCAUCACUGGUUGCUUUUGCUUCUCAGCUUGAUAGUAAGCUGGUUUAGUCCUUAAUGCACCAUUUAUAUUGCUAUAUUAAACUGUGGAAUUUACUAUGUAAAGUCUUUCUUAUAAUUCAUUUUUAUCAGCUAUUUAAUAAUUAGUAACUGAUAUUAAAACUUUUUUUUUUUUGUAUCUGUCUGAAAACAAUUUAAAAAAAAAGCUUUUUAAUUCCUAAAAGUGAGCCAUCACUGAUUCUAAAUAUUACAUGCUUUUUAAGCAUUUAACUUGCAUUAAUUUUUAUGUGUAUUUUAAAGAAACAUUAUGCAGUUAAUUUAGUCUUAAACCAAAAUUACUAAAGCUAAAUCCUAUAAAAUCUUUUAAAUAUUUACAAUGUGAAAAAACUGUAGGUGCAGAAUUACAUAAGUACAGAGCAAAAUCCAAAAUGUGGAUAUCCAGUAUCCAAAACAACAGCACAUACGGGGGGGGGGGGGAAAGGGUUAUU